rnacentral:rRNA from 1 species
AGCAGCCGCGGUAAUUCCAGCUCCAAUAGCGUAUAUUAAAGUUGUUGCAGUUAAAAAGCUCGUAGUUGAAUUUCGGGGUUAGUAGAUUGGUCAUGCCUCUGGUAUGCACUGGUCUCACUGAUUCCUCCUUCCUGAUGAGCCGUAAUGCCAUUAAUUUGGUGUUGCGGGGAAUUUGGACUGUUACUUUGAAAAAAUUAGAGUGUUUAAAGCAAGCUAACGCUUGAAUACAUUAGCAUGGAAUAAUGAAAUAGGACGUUCGAUCCUAUUUUGUUGGUUUCUAGGAUUGACGUAAUGAUUAAUAGGGAUAGUUGGGGGCAUUAGUAUUCAAUUGUCAGAGGUGAAAUUCUUGGAUUUAUUGAAGACUAACUACUGCGAAAGCAUUUGCCAAGGAUGUUUUCAUUAAUCAAGAACGAAAGUUAGGGGAUCGAAGACGAUCAGAUACCGUCGUAGUCUUAACCAUAAACUAUGCC